UGGUGAUACGACGGAGAGUAAGACAGAUUUUCAGAUAUAUUAACUGAUGGAGUCUGCUGGAAAUUAUGAGAAGAAUAGUCAUUAUGAGAAGGAUACUCAUCACUAAAAUAUGAAGGAGGUGAUGGAGGGAUAUGUGGAGGAGUUGGUGUGGUGGCUGCCGGAGGUGACGGAGGGACACGUGAAGGAGGAGGUGGUGGGGUGGCUGCUGGAGGAGACGGUCUAUUUGCAGAAUAAUGUGCAUCGUCAUGUACGUGACUAAAUGAAUCGGAUUCUGGUCCAGGUUUGAUGACUGAAUCGGAUUCUGGUGCG
rnacentral:lncRNA from 1 species